GCGGGAUUGGGCGAAACAGUGGACAGAUUACAUGUCUGCCGUUCGAGACUCCGUGUUCGAACAGAGAUCAGUAUGUGUUCUGGGAUGCUUUCCAUCCAACAGCUGCUGUGAAUGUCAUAUUGGCAAGGAGAGCUUUCAGUGGAAGCACUGAUGUGGUGUUUCCCAUGAAUGUAGAACAGCUUGCUUUGCUGGAGGAGAAACCCAAUUAGGAACGAGGAGUUGAUGG
rnacentral:misc_RNA from 1 species